CUGGAUGCUGACGAGCGGCGGACGGGUGAGUAAUGCAUAGGAAUCUGCCCGAUAGUGGGGGAUAACCUGGGGAAACCCAGGCUAAUACCGCAUACGUCCUACGGGAGAAAGGGGGCUCCGGCUCCCGCUAUGGGAUGAGCCUAUGUCGGAUUAGCUAGUUGGUGAGGUAGCGGCUCACCAAGGCCACGAUCCGUAGCUGGUCUGAGAGGAUGAUCAGCCACAUCGGGACUGAGACACGGCCCGAACUCCUACGGGAGGCAGCAGUGGGGAAUAUUGGACAAUGGGCGCAAGCCUGAUCCAGCCAUGCCGCGUGUGUGAAGAAGGCCCUCGGGUUGUAAAGCACUUUCAGCGAGGAAGAACGCCCAGCGGUUAAUACCCGCUAGGAAAGACAUCACUCGCAGAAGAAGCACCGGCUAACUCCGUGCCAGCAGCCGCGGUAAUACGGAGGGUGCAAGCGUUAAUCGGAAUUACUGGGCGUAAAGCGCGCGUAGGUGGCUUGAUAAGCCGGUUGUGAAAGCCCCGGGCUCAACCUGGGAACGGCAUCCGGAACUGUCAAGCUAGAGUGCAGGAGAGGAAGGUAGAAUUCCCGGUGUAGCGGUGAAAUGCGUAGAGAUCGGGAGGAAUACCAGUGGCGAAGGCGGCCUUCUGGA
rnacentral:rRNA from 1 species